rnacentral:tRNA from 1 species
UUAACUGAAACCAAAGAAAGAGGUAUAUUAUUGUUAAUAAUAAAAUUGAACUUAAGUUCCAGUUAAG